CUGCAGCUUCAUAUAAAUGCACCCUGGAAGAGAUGGACGAGCACAGCAAACAAGUGUACAUGUGAGAUAAAGUGGCGUUGUGUUGUUCGAAAGUGUAAAGAUGCGCAUUGUCUGUCUAAAUUGCAACAGCUGGGUUCACUGAUGCAGGAAAGGUUUGAACUUCAGACUGAUUAGGAUCAUUGCAAGUCAGCAUGUCUCAUCGAGGACCUUUAACAGCUGUCGUAACGGCAGUACUAGGGGCAACCUUGGGAGGGCUGCUCAUAUGGCGGGUGUAUCGAACAAAAAGGAAAAGGCUACCUUCCAUCCAGAAGGUCGCAGAUUCCUUGCACAAUCUUGAGGAAAAGGCCACAGAGGUCACAGCUGUGGAGUCUACAUGCAUACAGCCGCCACAUGUUGUAAAGGAUGAAUUUCAGACUGUACAGUGCCAGACCACACUUCCUGCCCGGAUCCCGUCUUCUGAUCACCUGCUGGGAAUCAAACCAGUGAUUGUGACCUCUGAAGAAGAGUGGCAGCAGUUGUGGCCAAUAAUGCAAAAAGAACUGUCAGUCUUCCCUGUGCUGGGAUUUGACUGUGAAUGGGUAAAGACCUCCGCCGUGUCUGCUAAAGGCAAAGCCGCUGUGGUCUCCUUGCUACAGAUGGCCUCGUACUCGGGUCUGUGCAUCCUGGUGAGGCUGUUGCCGUUUCGCAGCAGUCAACAGCCUUUCCCGCACAGCUUAAUGGAAGUUCUCAGAAACCCACACAUUCUUAAAGUGGGAGUUGGUUGCUACGAAGAUGGCAAGCGGCUAACACGUGACUAUGGCGUGUCGCUGACGUGUACGGUUGACCUGCGUCACCUUGCCCUGCGACAAAAGCAAACUUCAGUAAGUAACGGCCUCAGUUUGAAGUCACUGGCAGCAGAUGUGUUGAAAAUCUCUCUAGACAAAUCUCCAGAGGUGCGUUGCAGUGAUUGGGAAGCAGAUCAGUUGACACAGGAGCAGAUGACUUAUGCUGCUAGAGAUGCCCAGGUUUCCAUUGCUGUCUUCCUCCAUCUCCUCGGCUUUCAGUCUGAAGCCAGUCCCGCCUCUUCCAGUGGGAGCUCUUACUCUGAGCUGGCAUCCCGCUGCCAGGGUCUGGUCGAUGUGCCGUUCAAGGGCCAAGGAGAUAGAGAUGACAGGGCUGGUGAUGGAGACAGGAAGAGGAGGGCCAGGUCGUUAGGCUAUGAAAACCCAGAGUCUGGAGAUCAGCAAGUCUCAGACCCUCGAAGGAAUCACAAGAGGAAAUCACUGGGUGCCGGGUAUUCCGCCAGGAAAUCUCCCCUCUAUGAUAACUGUUUCCUCCAUGCACCAGAUGGCCAACCCCUGUGUACCUGUGACAAGAAAAAAGCCAAAUGGUACCUUGAUAAAGGAAUAGGAGUGCUUGAGAGUGAAGAGCCUUUUAUUGUGAGGCUGCUGUUUGAGCCGUCGGGACGUCCUGACUCGCAGCAGGAUUACUACCUGACUGCCAAGGAGAAUCUCUGUGUGGUCUGUGGAAAAGCAGAUUCUUACAUCAGGAAAAAUAUUGUGCCGCAUGAGUACAGACGGCAUUUUCCCACAGAGAUGAAGGACCACAACUCCCAUGACAUCCUGCUGCUGUGCACCAGCUGCCACGCUGCCUCCAAUGUACACGACAGUUUCCUGAAACAGCAGCUGGCUGAAGAGUUUUCUGCCCCUCAGGGCUGCGAGGAGGGAGUUCGGAUCUUUGAGGACUCUGAUCGACGGAAAGUACGCUCGGCGGCUCGGGCUCUGCUCACUGCCGGGGAAGGACUCCCCGAACAACGGCGAGAGGAGCUGCAGGCUUUAAUCAAGAGUUUCUUGAAUUUGAAUGACGAAGAGGAGGUGACUGAGGAGGCGCUGCAGCAAGCAGCCAAUUUGGAGACUAAGAUUUUAAACGAGGCGUACGUGCCUCACGGUCUGAAGGUGGUGCAAGCGCACGCUGAGCAAGGCCUGCGGGGACUGAUGGUCCUGGAGCGUCGCUGGAGGCAGCAUUUCCUCACCACCAUGCAGCCUCGCCACCUCCCUCCUCUGUGGUCCAUCGAUCACAAUCACAGCAAGUUACUUCGCAAAUACGGAGAGGACCUGCCCAUUAAACUCAACUGACUUUCCAUCUCCAAGAAGGGCACGACUAGCCUCGCACCUGGAUAGGAAACCUGGAUUUUACUCUAUUACUUUGAAACUCAACAGCCACUCCAUCAGUUUCUCCAACCUGCUUUUUGCUUUUUUUUUAGUGAGCACGUGAACGCACUAAUUGAGCAGCAGGGAUGGAAAUGUUAUAGUAUGUGGCUGCUGUCAGGACCCCACUGGGCAAAGAACAUUGAUGCCAAAUGCCAGUAAGAGUAACUGACCCUACCUGUGGAGAGAAAUCUAGAUGAGUCAGUCGAGGUGUUUCUGGGCCUGAAUGUAUUGCGUCUGUGGUUUUGUACACUUAUCGCAGCAGGGGAGACAAAAUGUAAGUACAGUUGGCGUCUUUCACUUGGUCAUUUAUUUAAACUCCUGCUUAUGUCGCGGUGCUGAUUCUCCUGACGGCUGGGACCUCUCCAUGGCGCGUUUUUGAACGUGCCUCUUAACCCCUAAAGCUGACCGGAGACUGUGUCGGGACAUGAGCUCGUUUCAGUUUCACAGCGACGUCAUUUCACAGAAUCCAAACUGCACAGUAAAGAAAAGCUGCCAACUUGGACGUGAUGAAGAUAAAUUACAAGAUUUAACCCUCUGCAAAGCUUUUGAGUAUAAGAAAUUUACCUUAUGGAAGCAGCUGCAUUGUAUUUAUUCAUGUUUUCCUGUGAAUGAUACAGUAAAUAAGUGAUGUUUAUUAAUCUUAUGAGUUCUUGAACACACCUAUACCCUUCAUCCACUCCCCACCCCGAAACAAGACACAGCCACAUUCAUUUAUUUCUUACAAAAUCACAGUUUAAUAAAUAGUCUGUAAAAAUGAGUACAAAAGUGGUUUUCUUAACAUUUCAUAUAUGAAUCACUCGUGACUUUCAGGUCAAAGGAGUCUUUAAGUGGAUUUUUUUUUUUUUUCUUUCUACAAUCUAGUUUUGCUGAAUUAAGGCCUCUUGAUUUUGGCAUCAGAAACAAUCUGUCAGUCAAAUGUUUUGUAUCUGAAGUUGAAUUAGUUAUGAGCUCCCCUGGUUUCACAGUUCAGUCAGGAAAAUUAAAUAAAACACAUUUACAAAUAAAUAAAAUGGCUCAACAUGCAGAAUCCCUUUAUCCUAAGACGCUGACAACCUAAGCAUAUUUCUAACGGUCAGUGUUUGACACUGCAACAAUAACAAUGGCACAUGACGCUGCUUCAUCCAAGGGGUUUCCAUCAAAGUUGACUUUUCAUUUCUUGGGUGCCCUUGAUUUACUAACAUGGACAAAUAAGGGCUGACUUUGGGGGAUUAUUUCAUUUUUUUCUUGAAGUAAAUUUUGGUGGACUUACCCUUUGAAGAAGUCUAGCGGUGAUAAAGAGUGCAAUCCUGUGUUAUGAAAGACACUCUGACAUCUUUACUGCAUUACAGUGAAAACCUCUGAGGGUGGAAACACACCUGAAGAUUCAGUUUAAAUUAUUAGAAAGCCUUUGCUUUUAUUUGGGCAAUUUCUAUUUAAUAAAUUUUGCAAAUAAACUACUUUGAAAGGUGACUGCUAACCUGGUUUUAGCAGUGCUGGUAGGCAUUUACCUUUGGACAUAACCAGGCUAGCCGUUUCUGCUAUGGACAGGCCUCAUGCUAACUUAGCAUACAUAGACUGUAUAUAAAGGAGGCUGUAGUUUCAGGCUCACUGCAGAAGCACCUUCAUUUUUCUUUUCAGUGGCCAGCAGGGGGCGACUCUUGUGCUUGUGAAAAAAGGUCUGCUUGUAUGGUAAGGUCUUAUAAGGUCUGCUUCCAAUGGUCACUUUUCCAUUGGAAAAGUGUAGAAGCUUCUUUCUGCCACUGUGAAAAUUUCAGGUUAUCCUAAUUUCAAUAUCACAAGACAUUUUUGAGGCAAUAAUCUGACAUUUGCCUUUUUUUUUUUUUUUGACUUGGAAUAUGGUCCUCAGCUUCCUUGAUUUCUGCCUUCAGUAAACACUUUCCUGAUGAGUUUAUGGGCUUAACUUUAGGUAAUCAUCCCAGUUAGCAAUCAUAGGGGCCAAAUCAUUCCCUGUCUUAUAUUUCACAGUGAGAUCUGUCCCAUGCUGUGGUACCUGGGUUUUAAAGAUCAAAAACAAAACAAAAAACAAAAACACUCAGCUAGAGGCUUAAAAAAAUAAGGCUUCACAAACAGUGCAUGGUGUCAAAUUGCCCAUGUCCGUCCUUUAUAUACAAUCUAUGUUGGCAAGGAUAUGCAUGGUUUCACAACCUUGAGCAGGAAACUUUAAAAGUUUAGAGUCCUUAGUGAAUCCUCUUGUGUGUGUCCACCUGUACUCCUGCAGAGUUUCAACACUAAAUUACUGCAUAUUUAUAACUCCUUUUGUUCGCUGCGACAAAAGACAAUUUUUU